ACAACACAGGGUAAAUCUUUUCCAGCGUUGUUUAGCGGCUGUAUGCGUGGUAAGGGCGCACCGUAUCAUUCGGAAAGUGUUUGCAGAGCCAAGGUCAAUUCGUGCUGGGUCCAAAUUGUUUAACUUAUCGAGGACCAUUUUACAUUCUGCGGCCAUGUUUUAAAUCGAUGACAUCAAUCGCUUUGGAAGCAGAAGCCAGCCCCGUUCGUCCGCCUCCAAUCAGAUGAUAGCAGGGACGAGCUAGGAGACUGUUAUUGUUUUACUGGGCUGGAUCAAAGUUGUGUAGAGUGGAGGGUUGCUUCGAAGGCAGGUGAACGCGCAGAAGACUUAAACGCGCAAUCUUUAUAUUUGCAAAGCUCGCCUUAAAAGCGUUUUUCUUUGCUCGACCAAUAUGGUGACCCUCUCAUCAAUAAUACGACCAGUCGGUCGGCUGCUCCAUCGACAGCUAUCCAGACAAGGCAAGGGUCAGCGGCUGGUCCCAGUGAGAAGAUGUAACCUCACCGCAUGCUCCAGCAAAUAUGUGCUUUCACACAUGCAUCCAAUGUGGCAGGAGCCCUUGGCCAUCCCGGGAGGUGACCGCCAGUCCCCUAUUGACAUUGUGGUUCGGAAGAGCCUGUUUGACCCCCAUCUGAAGCCCCUGGUCCCCGCGUACGACCCCCAGACCUGCCAGCAGAUCUGGAACAACGGAUACUCCUUCCUGGUGGAGUACGACGACACCACCGACAAGUCCACAUUGAAAGGGGGCCCCCUGGAAGACCAGUUCCGCCUCUGUCAGUUCCACUUCCACUGGGGCGAGAGCAACGCCUGGGGCUCCGAGCACACGGUGGACAGGAAGCUGUUCCCGGCGGAGCUCCACAUCGUCCACUGGAACACGGAGAAGUAUGACCUGUUUGAAGAGGCUGUCAUGGAGGAGAACGGGCUAGCUGUUAUCGGUGUCUUCCUCAAGAUCGGAAAGAGACACGAAGGACUGCAGAAGCUAGUCGACGCUCUGCCCGCUGUCAGACACAAGGACAGCACGGUGGAUUUUGAACGGUUCGACCCGGCCUGUCUGCUGCCUAGCAACAUCAACGACUACUGGACCUACCACGGCUCCCUGACCACGCCCCCUCUGACGGAGGCCGUCACCUGGAUCGUCAUGAAGCAGCACAUCGAAGUCAGCCACGACCAGCUGGCAGUGUUCCGGAGCCUUCUGUUUACGUCUGCUGAGGAGGAGGUGCAGAAAGGCAUGGUCAACAACUUCCGCGUGCAGCAGCCUCUGCGAGGCCGACCAAUCCGCUCCUCCUUCUCACCCUUCCUGACCGGGGAAGAGCCCGCCCUCUGACCUGGAAGAGCCCGCCCUCUGACCUGGAAGAGCCCGCCCUCUGACCUGGAAGCGACCGCCCUCUGACCUGGAAGAGCCCGCCCUCUGACAGGCUGCGCUCACCCAAACAGUCACCCAGAGAAGCCCCCCCCCCCCCCCCCAUUCACACAGACACUCUUUGAUGCUACACUUUGACAGACUUCCGGACAGAUCUUUGGCCAACACACACACACACACACACACACACACACACACACACACACACACACACACACACACACACACACACACACACACACACACACACACACACACACACACACACACACACACACACACACACACACACACACACACACACACACACACACACACACACACACACACACCACUGUACAAGUGCCGUUGUCUUCGUCCCGUGAUAGACCGUGGCCACAGCCCUGAGAGGAGAGGAAGCAGCAGUGACGCGUUGGAGGCUGGAUCAGGUUGGAGACUUGGAGUCUCGUAGCAAGGUCAUAUAUGAGACUGCUGUAGUGAAGAGGUUUUUAAGGAUCUAGGGUUUUAUUGUUUUCUGCUGGUUUUAAAAAUAUAUAGGAGUUUAAAUGCAGACUCUCAUAGUCUGUAUAGCACAUGAACUCAAAAAAUAACACAUAUAUAUGUUUUUUGCAUAUGUAUAAGUUUUGUUUUCCCUUACUAAUCAAAGAAUAGCUGGGUGUUUUUAAUAUGGGUAAAAUCGAUUCUUAAAGCAUUCUAGGUUGUAUGCCUCCAGGUAUGAUAGGAGACUGAUUAAUUCAUUUGAUUUGCAAGAUUUGUUUUAAACAGGAACCGGAUAGCGCCAUCUGCUGGUCAGUCACCACUGCAGGUUGCGUCCUAAAUUCGGGAAUGUGAUUCUAAAACAUUAAUGAAAGCAAUUUCAUGCUGCUACCUGUAUAUUAUACAAUGCCCAAGAGAUUUUAAACUGAUUAACUGAUAGGAAAGUUUGGGUUUUCCUAUAGAGAUAGUUAUACUGACGUUUUAAAAACAGCAUUUAAGCACUUGUAAUGGUUGUUUCGUUGUGUGAUAUUUUUAUUUUUUUAUUUGUCGUGUAGUGCUUGUUUUGAAUUAUAGAAUGUUUUCAUUUUAAUUUUUAAGCUGUUACAAAAAGAUUUUAGGAAUGUCUACAUAUUCCUCUUUGAGGAUAUCUUUCUGGAGUAUGUGUUUGUGUGUCUGCAUUAAACCAGAUGGGUUAUGUUAACCAUGUUACUAUGCACACAAGCACGUGAGGUUAAUGUAACACCGUCAUGCCUGACCGCGGUUUGGAGGAUAGAAGGGAACCAGUUUAUAUCAUGAUGUGUGUUCAGAAUGUUGCUGAUUGUACAAUUUACAAUGUUUUCCUGUGUGACUUACACUGUGCAAGGCUCAACAAAACAUAUCUGCAUUAUGAAGCAUUACCCCCUCCCUCCCAUGCAUACACACACUGACCCCCAGUGAUGGAGGUCAUAAAAGUAAUAAUAAAAGUGAUGGCACUGUUUUUGCAUCACGCCAUGGGCAAUUUUCAGGUAUUGCUAGGAUAUUUGUGCAAUAAAAGUUUUGCAGCAUG